GGACCCGCACAAGUAGUGGAGCAUGUGGUUUAAUUCGAAGAUACGCGCAGAACCUUACCAACACUUGACAUGUUCGUCGCGACUUUAAGAGAUUAGAGUUUUCGGUUCGGCCGGACGAAACACAGGUGCUGCAUGGCUGUCGUCAGCUCGUGUCGUGAGAUGUUGGGUUAAGUCCCGCAACGAGCGCAACCCUCACUUUUAGUUGCCAUCAUUUAGUUGGGCACUCUGAAAGAACUGCCAGUGAUAAGCUGGAGGAAGGUGGGGAUGACGUCAAGUCCUCAUGGCCCUUACGUGUUGGGCUACACACGUGCUACAAUGGUAUCUACAACAGGAAGCAAAACUGCGAAGUUAAGCAAAUCCCAAAAAGAUACCUCAGUUCGGAUUGCACUCUGCAACUCGAGUGCAUGAAGCUGGAAUUACUAGUAAUCG
rnacentral:rRNA from 1 species